rnacentral:lncRNA from 1 species
GGCAGCUCCAACCGCAGGCCCAGAAAGGGGCAUUGGACACAGACGAAGACCCGCAGAAAGGGAAGAUGGUGUGAAGAUAACAGGAGGAAGAUGCCGAGGAGAAGCCUGGAGCUGGGUCUCACCUCAUUGCCGCUGAGGGAAAUAGCCCUGCCCACAUUUCCAUUUUAGACUUUGGCUUGGAGAGCUUAGGGUCGAUAGUUUCUGUUGUUUGAGCCACCCCAUUGGUGGUGGUUGGUUAGGGCAGCUCCGGGAAACUCAAACAGUCCCCAAGCCAGGGAAAUAAGCCAGGGAGAGCAAGGGCAG